rnacentral:lncRNA from 1 species
UGCGGAAAUAGUUUCCUUUACAGAAGCGGAUUGGGCUUGAGCCCAAACUGUAGGAAAAGACUUGGAAAGGUGCGGAUGUGAAACGGGGGUGUCGAAGGAGAAAAGGUUUCUUUUUAUUAUUAUGAAGAAAAAGAACUGGAGCCCAACAACCUGGCCCAACAUUCUCAACAGAAACCUUAGGGGUUCAGGCUAACUCCCUUUCACUUCACCUCCAAGAGGCCAAAUCUCUUCCUCUGAACGAAAGAAAAACCAAAAGCAACCAUUCCUGUGCUUCGUCUCAAACGGCCACCGCAAAGGGGCCCUCCACCUGAUCCAUGACGUCGCCGGCGACCCCAAGCGCAACCAAAGCUGCCGCCGGCCGCAGCACCAGAUCUUCUUCCCUGCUCUUUUCCGAAUGCGAGAGGAGAACCCGCCUCCCGUUCGCGCCGCACCAUAGUCGUCGUCUCUCGGACCACGAACCAGGGUCGCGCCGGCGAUGCGACUCGCCGCUGGAGUUGCCGCCAUUCGACCCAAAGCGUCGCCGUCGACACCUAUCAUCAACAGGAACCGUCCCCGCGCGAGAGGGAGGCCGUGGAUCGAACUGAGACGAGCCUUCACCACCACGAACGAAACCCCCGUCGACGAAUGAUAGCCACCGCCGCCCUCGCCGGAGUCCGCGUCACCAGCGCCAUUCUCUUUCCUCUCCACUCAAGGGUUUCCUACUUGCCUCUUAAACGCCAAAAGUCCCCAGCAACCCUCACCGCCAGUGUCGAGGACGAAGGCGUUUUUUUUUGCUUUAUUAUUGAUGUUCUGGUUUACUGGGAUUGGAAACAAUGAGUGUGUUUAUGGUUUUCGUUCUGUAUCUAUUGCUUAGAGGGUUAACCACUUUGUUGGUGGCUUGAGGUGAACAGAGGCAAGAGGACUCGGUUUCAUUGUCUGAUUUGGUUUGUGAUUGCCGUGAUUGAUUCAAGGUGUUCAGAUUAGUUCUUUCUUCUUGUAGGAAAAACGGCAUUGGAAUUUCAGUAGAAUAAAUCAAGGUCGAAGAUGAUGAUGGGAUUAUGCAUGGGAGACAUUAGUUUGCAGGUUUAUGAUGAGGCAAAUCUUUGUUGUUAGUAUGGGUGACAAACAGUAUGCAGUAGCGAGAAUGGAUAGGGAAAGAUAACCAGGAUAUGUAUGCGGCGUGCGGGACAUUCAAUGGCAAACAUAUAUGCGCAGUAAAACAUACAUAAGUAGUAAAGUACAAAGGCAUUCUAGCAGCUUUAGAUAUUCAACAAUGAUCAUAUAUAAGCGGCAAAGCACAAAGGUAUUCAUUGUAAAUAAACUACAAUAAGUUUACUCAGUUACCACUUGGAGCUUCCUUAGUACGGUUGCUGUGACAGGAAGGAUGAAGCUGGUGCUGAUGGGAAGAAAGUAGGCUACUAUAGUAGCUGAAUUUCUGUGCUAUUGCUAACUUCGUACCGCUGAUGAUCUCCUCUCUUCCCUUGGCUGGCUUCUCUUUUGUUUCUUUGUAGGUGAACGGAGGUUGCAGAUGUGCGAUGGAUGGUAUCUCCACUUGAGAAAGGAAAUAAUUGGGUAGAGGAUUGUGCUUGUGUGCGUGAUGGAGGAACGGUUUCUGUUGAGUGAAUAGAAAGUGGUUCGGAGCUGAGAGUAGUGUCCCCUCCCCUGAUGUUGGUGCCUCCUCCUGUAAGUGUAAGUGGGUUCCUUUUUUGGCAUUUAGUCUGCCAGCAUCAACUGAGAACCAAACGUCGUCUGCCAAAGCUGCUGUCAAACGCCAUUCUCCUUUGACGUAUAAUUUUGAUUGCGUGUAGAGGUGUUUGUGGUUGUGUGUUGCAGGAUCAAAUGCAUUUCAGGAUGGAAAUCUUAAUUUGUGUUUGCGUAGGGUGAGAAUGGGGAGAAGCCAGUCUGUUAUUUCCACAAACAGAACAUAGUUGACUAUAGUGUUUUUUCUAUUUUUCUUUUUGUUAUUUUGUUUUUUUUUAUUGUUAUUUUAUUUUUUUUUUCUUCUUAACAGCACCGAUUUUGAGUUUAAAAUAUAUAAAAAAAAAUAAAAUAAAUAAAUAAUAAAAGAAAAAAAAGGUGAAAACUAAUAGAUAAAAAUAAAAAACAAUAAAUUAGAAUAAAAAUGAUAAACUUAACAAAAGAAAAGUGCUUAACAGUAAAAGAAAAGGAAAGACGAAAUAACAUAAAAAGAAAAUAAAAAACAAAAAAAAAUAAAGUAAAAUAAAUAAAAUAAUAAUAAUAAAAUAAAAUAAAAUAAUAAUAAUAAAAUAAAAUAAAAUUUAACAAUAAUAAUAAAAAUAAAAUAAAAAAAAAGAUAAAAAACAAAAAUAACCUAAAUAAAAAUUAAUAAAAGUAAAGAUAUAAAUACAAAAAUAAAAGAAAAGAAAAUUAAGAUAGAAAUGAUUUCGUUUGUUUUUUUUUAUUUAUUUAACUACCCGGACGAAAUUGGGUAUUGACACUCUCAUCUUGGUCAUUCUUCAACCAUCUUGUCAUCAAAUCUUUGUGGUUCAUCACACGAGCUUUCGUCAUCAUCUCGUCUCACAUUAGCUCUGCCUACAACGCCUCUUCAAAAACACGAGAUCUGGAAGAAUUGAG